rnacentral:rRNA from 1 species
GAUGAACGAUGACAGAAUGCUUAACACAUGCAAGUCAACUGUGGAGGACGGGUGAGUAACGCGUAAAGAACUUGCCUCACAGUUAGGGACAACAUUUGGAAACGAAUGCUACUACCUGAUACGGUGAGAGAGCUUUGCGUCCCAUUAGCUAGUUGGAGAGGUAACGGCUCACCAAGGCGAUGAUGGGUAGCCGGCCUGAGAGGGUGAUCGGCCACAAGGGGACCGAGACACGGCCCUUACGCCUACGGGAGGCAGCAGUGGGGAAUAUUGGACAAUGGACCAAAGGCUGAUCCAGCAAUUCUGUGUGCACGAUGAAGUUUUCGGAAUGUAAAGUGCUUUCAGUUGGGAAGCGGUACCAACAUAAGAAGUGACGGCUAAAUACGUGCCAGCAGCCGCGGUAAUAC